GAUGAACGCUGGCGGCGUGCUUAACACAUGCAAGUCGAACGGAAAGGCCCUGAGCUUGCUGGGCUCUCGAGUGGCGAACAGGGGUGUGAAACACGUGUAAACCGUCCUUAACUGUCUGAUAUAUCUAGGGAAAUCCGGCUAAUACCGGGGAGAAUCUAUUGAUCCGUGGGGGUCGAUAGUGAGAUUCGGUGGUGGGGGAUAGAAUCGCGGCUUAUGAGCUGGAUGGUCGGGUAGUGGCUUACCAAGGUUUCGACGGGUAGCCGGCGUGAGAGGGGGACCGGCCACAUUGGGACUGAGAUACGGCCCAGACUCCUACGGGAGGCAGCAGUGGGGAAUAUGGCACAAUGGGCGGAAGCCUGAUGCAGCAACGCCGCGUGCGGGAUGACGGCCUUCGGGGUGUAAACCGCUUUCGCCUGUGACGAAGCGUGAGUGACGGUAAUGGGUAAAGAAGCACCGGCUAACUACGUG
rnacentral:rRNA from 1 species